rnacentral:lncRNA from 1 species
AGGGGGGAUACAUGUGGCUCAAGCUUAAAUCAGAUGUUAUUUUCAUUUAAAAUCCUAUUAUACAGUACACCUCUACAUUAACUUAAGGUAAAACACUGAGAUCUCACGAUAUAACAGGCUGUUUUUUCUUUUUCUUUUUUAAAGGGGUUGGAAAAGGGGGGGAAGGUGUUGCUAAAGGUUAAAUCAGAUUUUCAUUUAAAAUUGUUUAAUACAGUAAACCUUCAUAUUAAGUUAAGGAUAAACACUGCAAUUCCAUGAUAUAACAGGCUGCUUUAUUAUUUUUAUUUUUUAGGGGAAAAAGGGGGUAGGGGUGGAGAGGGGUUGUUGCUAAAGGUUAAUUUCAGAUGUUUUUUUAUUUAUUUUAAGACAUGUAAUACAUUGCUAGUACACCUUUACAUUAAGUCUAGGUAAACAAUGUAAUCCCAUAAUGUAUAAUAUGCUUCUCUUUUUUUCCCCUUUUUUGAGGGGUACUUAAGGAGGGGAAUCUGUAAGAUGAAAGUCAGGAUUAAACACUUAAUUUGAUCCCAUGAUAUAACAAACUUCCUUUUUGUUUAGGGAGGUGGGGAGGGGGCAGUCAGCAACAAAUCAUUUUAUGACAUAUAUAACUAGGCAGACACAUAUUCUGACAUUUUUGCUAUGUGUCUAAAGAGAGUUUUUCAAAAUCUUAUGAGUCUGAAUAAAAUUUUACUAUUCUAGGGUAUUGGACUUAGACUUUAAAGUAGCUAUCAGUGUCCCGGGAAAG